rnacentral:lncRNA from 1 species
UUUUAGGUUUUUGUUCGCUUUCUAACCAUUCCUUUGGAUAAAUAGAAGUGCGAUGGCGACUCGACUUGUAUGAUUUACCUUGGAUUUAGUCAAUAUCUCUAAUGGUAACGAAUACCCCGCUACACAAUGCAUGGUUUGAUUCAUACUCUGUCAUGGUUAACGGUUGGUUAACAAUGGUUAACAUAAUUUCAUUUGAAUCAUGAGUGCCAUAGUCACUAAAGGGUCUUUUU